rnacentral:rRNA from 1 species
UACGAAGGUCCCAAGCGUUAUCCGGAAUUAUUGGGCGUAAAGCGCAUGUAGGCGGUUUGUUAAGUCUGGUGUGAAAGCUCAAGGCCUAACCUUGAAAUUGCAUUGGAAACUGGCAAACUAUAAUACUGGAGGGGUAAGUGGAAUUCCAUGUGUAGCGGUGGAAUGCGUAGAUAUAUGGAGGAACACCAAUGGCGAAGGCAGCUUACUGGACAGUUAUUGACGCUGAGAUGCGAAAGCGUGGGGAGCAAACAGG